GACGAACCGUGCGAACGUUAUUCGGAUUCACUGGGCGUAAAGGGUGCGCAGGCGGCCGUAUGUGUGAGGCGUGAAAGCCCGGGGCUUAACCCCGGAAUUGCACCUCAAACUAUACGGCUAGAGCAUUGGAGAGGGUAGCAGAAUUCAUGGUGUAGCAGUGAAAUGCGUAGAUAUCAUGAGGAAUACCAGAGGCGAAGGCGGCGAUGCCUGGAC
rnacentral:rRNA from 1 species